rnacentral:rRNA from 1 species
UACGUAGGGUGCAAGCGUUAUCCGGAUUCACUGGGUUUAAAGGGUGCGUAGGUGGGCAGGUAAGUCAGUGGUGAAAUCUCCGGGCUUAACCCGGAAACUGCCAUUGAUACUAUCUGUCUUGAAUACCGUGGAGGUGAGCGGAAUAUGUCAUGUAGCGGUGAAAUGCUUAGAUAUGACAUAGAACACCAAUUGCGAAGGCAGCUUACUACCCGAAUAUUGACACUGAGGCACGAAAGCGUGGGGAUCAAACAGG